rnacentral:lncRNA from 1 species
UAAAAAGUUGACGAGUGAUUUUUUUUUUUUCUGGCCCUACUUUUAAACUGCCGUCUGAACAGCACUUACUGUGAUACRCUAUGCAGCCGUAGGUUCUCUCUUUUUGUUAGUUUGUACAAAUUUCCCUUUUCUUUGUUCCUAGAGGUGAAUUCUAGUGAAUUUUUCUCUCUACAUGAGAGGAGAAAGUGAGAUGAGAAGAGAGCCUAUGGAUCAGCAAGAGAAAAGGAGAAGGGGGAAAAAAGCAUCAUACAAACUGUAUGCAUAACCAGCCAGAUUUAUUGCUCAGAGAGACAGUACCUUUUGCUGAGUCCAGCAUAUGGCCAACAGGAGCUAUGUCAGGUAAGGAAUACAACCUUUAAUUUUUUAC